rnacentral:lncRNA from 1 species
GAUUUAUAUGUAUUAUUAUCAUAGAUAUUUGAUACUCGAAUGUUAAAUUUUGGUGUGAAGAAAAAUUUAAAAUGUAUGUGCAAUGCUUUGCUUCAGUGGGUGGGUUUUGUGAUUUAGUGACUUUUAGCUUUUGAGUGGAGGGAAAAAUGACAGGAUGUCAAAAAGAAGUGAAUGACACUUAAACAGGUGCAAUAUACAAUAGAGAAGAAUUGGUCUUAGCUUCUCUGGCGUGUAUAAUCCCUUACCUUGUACAUAAGUAUAGAAAGCGAAGUAAAAAAAGAGGACGGUACGUUUUCAUCGCGAUGAAAGGAAAUAGAAGAGUCUCUCAGUAGGACUAUAGGAUAGCAAUAGGGAAAAGUGUCCCCGUUAGAAGUAAAGGUAUAAAGUAAAAGAUAAAAUAAUCAAUAGUGUACUCCGAUGGAGGAAUAAUUCGAUGGCUUUUGUGAGAGAUAAAACAACUUGUCAGACUGAAAAAAAUAGUCAGUGAAGCGGUGAGAUAGUUCCAAGCUGUUUAGAAUCAUUACAAAAAAAAAAAAAAAAAAAAAAAAACAAAAAAAUAAAAUGAUGAAAAAAAAAAAGAAAGCGGUAAGAAGUGCGAGAAAGGGAAAGAUAGAGGUGCCAGUGGAAAAGAGAAGGCAAUUGGUAAUGGUGGAAUCCGGGAACCCAGAACCGUUCGAACGGUUGGCUGUGCCGCAGACGCAAGGUCAUUGUCCUUGGGGGUUCAACGACCCUCACGAGGAGAGGGAUGUGUCGACGCGGUGGUGCGCUAUGUCGCGGUAAUGGAAAACGUCGUGUACGCACACACAACACCCUAUGAGGAUCACUCUAUAAAUUGAUGCAUGUAUAUCCAUAAAUAUAUGCAUGUAUGCAUGUGCAGACAUAAGUGUUUUGUUCGGAGGAUUUAAAAGCAGACGUGUAGGCCUAUGCCUCUCUGUUUCUGUUGACGACAAGAGGUACCGAGGUAGAGGGAUGUAAAUAGCUCGCGUGACGCGAGGAGAUGAACAGACGGAUGAAAAGGAACGACGAGAAAUAGAAGACGUCGUCCAAGCACAACUCAUUCGCUGCUUCUGUGUCCCGCCGACCACUCUGCAAGUUUGCUAAAAAAAAAAGUAUGUGUACAACAAAAAAAAAAAAAAAAAAAAAAAAAAAAAGCAGGAAAAUGAGGAAGAAACUUUUUACUCAAAAUAAUGAAACUAAAAUCUGGGACUUUUGGGGAUGGAUUUAUUUUAUUUAGCUCCGUUUUUAAUAAGCGUGUAAAUGCCACCUGUUGAAACAAAUCUAUUUUAGUGGGUCGCCCGGAAAAUUGGCUGUUGGAGCUGUAUUGUUCUAUUGCUAUUGUAUUAUACAUUUGAGUUGGGUAUAUAGCUCAAGAAAAUUGCAUGUCGGGAAAUAUGUUCCGGAGUACGUGGCACGUCGACACGGCGCUUUGCCCCACGAUGAACGCGAGAGAGCCAGGGAGCAAUGUCCCUCGCAAGAGAGCCAACCCCCUUCCUAACGUUCAAGUAUGACAAGACACGUGGUCCAUUUUUUUAUUUUCACACGGUGUGCGUUGACACUGAUGUCAUGAUUCAAGGGAGAACUUGCAUGCAAAUGUAUAAUGCAAAUUACACGCGUGGCACUAGCACGAGUUGAUGUAAUUUGUCAAUUGUACUCCGUAAAGCAAAUGAAAUAAAUAAAAAAAAAAAAUAAAGUAAAAAAAAAACCGCUAAU